GACGAACGCUGGCGGUGUGCUUAACACAUGCAAGUCGAACGGUAAGGCCGAGCAUGUGUGGGGCGCUCGAAUGGCGAACGGGUGAGUAAGACGUGAGUAACCUGCCCUUGACUUUGGGAUAACUUCAGGAAACUCGGGCUAAUACCGGAUAGGAGAUCCUGCUGCAUGGUGGGGGUUGGAAAGCUUCGGCGGUUGGGGAUGGACUCGCGGCGUAUCAGCUUGUUGGUGUGGUAGUGGCUUACCAAGGCUUUGACGGGUAGCCGGCCUGAGAGGGUGACCGGCCAGAUUGGUACUGAGGAACGCACCGGACUCGACCUGGAGCCCAAAGUGAAGGAUAGAAGCAAAGGGGCUGAAGCCUGAUGCAGCAACGCCACGUGGCGAAUAACUGCCUUCGGGUGGUAUUCUGCCUUCCCCUGUGACGCAGCGAGAGUGACAGCAAUAGGUCAAGAAGCACCGGCUAACUACGUG
rnacentral:rRNA from 1 species